AUGGAGCCGGCCGGGGCCCCGCCGCCGAGCUGCGCCCCGGCCCGGGAGGCGGAGGAACCCCCGGGGUCCCCGGCGCUCCCCGCCGAACCUCUGCGGGACGGCGAGCCCGCCCGGAAGGCGAUAGAAGAGGCGGUGGCGGAACGGAGCCGCGGUCGCGGCCCGGCCGGGCGGGCGGCGCGAGGUGGGGGGCGGCGCGGGCCGGAGGAGCGAGGGGCCCGGGCAGGACGGCGGCCCCGGGUCACCGUAGAUAGCUCCAAGGCCAAGACCUCACUGGAGGCGCUGAAGAUCAGCCUGCGGCAGCUGCGUUGGAGGGAGUUUCCCUUUGGCAGGCGCCUGCCGUGUGAUAUCUACUGGCAUGGAGUCUCGUUUCAUGAUAAUUACAUAUUCUCAGGUCAAGUCAACAAGUUUCCAGGCAUGACGGAGAUGGUACGUAAGGUUACGCUGAGCCGGGCAGUGAGGACGAUGCAGGAUUUGUUUCCUGUUGAAUAUAACUUCUAUCCUCGCUCCUGGAUUCUGCCUGAGGAGUUUCCCCUCUUUGUGACUGAGGUUCGUAUGAUGAAAGAGAGCGAUCCGUCCUGGAAGCCUACUUUUAUUGUCAAACCUGAUGGCGGGUGCCAGGGGGAUGGAAUCUACCUCAUUAAAGAGCCCAGCGACGUCAGGCUGGCCGGCAGCCUGCAGAGCCGCCCGGCAGUGGUCCAGGAGUACAUCUGCAAACCACUGCUUGUGGACAAGCUGAAGUUUGAUAUUCGUCUCUACGUCUUACUGAAAUCCUUGGAACCUUUAGAGAUUUAUAUAGCCAAAGAUGGACUUUCUAGAUUUUGUACAGAGCCCUAUCAAGAACCCACUCUAAAAAAUUUGCACCAGGUUUUUAUGCACUUAACUAACUACUCACUAAAUAUCCAUAGUGGGAAUUUCAUCCAUUCUGACAAUGUCAACACUGGCAGCAAGAGGACUUUCUCAAGCAUUCUGUGCAGACUGUCUUCCAGAGGAGCUGAUGUCAAAAAGGUUUGGUCAGAUAUAAUUUCACUGGUGAUUAAAACAAUUAUUGCACUGACACCAGAACUGAAAGUUUACUAUCAGUCUGACAUCCCAGCAGGAAAGCCUGGGCCAACUUGCUUCCAGAUUUUAGGGUUUGACAUUCUCCUGAUGAAAAACUUGAAGCCCAUGUUGCUGGAAGUAAAUGCAAACCCCAGCAUGAGAAUAGAGCACGAGCAAGAGCUCUCUCCUGGGGUGUUUGAAAAUGUCCCAAGUCCUGUUGAUGAAGAAGUGAAAGUAGCUGUUAUCAGAGAUACUCUUCGUCUGGUGGACCCCCACAAAAAAAAGACAAAAGAUAUUCAAUCUCAGACUUCAGAGCAUGUGUCAGAAACAAGAGAGGAUCUACUGGAUGCAGGACCAGCAGGUGGACCGGAAUACGAGACCAGCAAAAACCCAGAGGCUGGCCUGCCCUCCCUGUGUCUCAAGCAAGUGUUUCCAAAGUACGCCAAGCAGUUCAAUUACCUGCGACUUGUGGACAGGGUGGCUGCGUUGUUCAUCCGAUUCCUUGGCGUCAAAGGGACAACAAAACUGGGGCCAACAGGUUUCCGGACAUUUAUAAGAAACUGCAAGCUCAGUAACAGCAAUUUUUCAAUGGCUUCUGUAGAUAUCUUAUACAUUGAUAUCACACGAAGGUGGAACAGCAUGGGAAUUGAUCACAAAGAAUCAGGAAUGUGCUUGCAAGCCUUUGUUGAAGCUUUCUUCUGUUUGGCUCAGAAAAAAUACAAGUCGCUCCCUCUUCAUGAGCAGGUGGCAUCAUUGAUUGACUUCUGUGAGUAUCACCUGGCUGCCCUGGAUGAGAAGCGCCUGCUUUGCGGCCGAGGGGUUGUGGAGCGCCGAGGUGCAGCGGUUACUUGUCCGACAGAUGGACUUGAGGUGACCCCAGCUCUGCACGCACCCCUCCUAAACCGCACGGCUGCAGCUGGUAAACUUGCAGAUUGCAGAAGUCAUCGCUAUCCUGCUGCUGUUUCACCAGGAGCAGGGAGAGACUGAGAGAACUGAGAAUUAAUCUCAGGUGAAGACAAGGAACAAACAGACAGUGAGAAGAUAACCAACAUCAUGGGAAUUGGGUGCACUGCCUGAGAGGCACACUCAUGUUAAGAAAUUACAUGCCUCGAAUGCACUAAGUGUAUCAUGGACACCAAUUAAGGAGCUGCAGUUGCAAAUUCCAGUUGUGUGGUUUUGAAAACAAAAACCUGGGAUUAUAUUUUUGGUCAGACUUCAGGCUUUGACCCUGUUAUUUCAGUUGCUUGGACUGGGCUUGUCGGUACUGGUACAGAUCUGCUCGUUGCCCAUAGCUAUGCACUUACCUUUAUAACUCAGUCUUAAACCUCUGAAAUCAUAUUUCUGCUUCUACUUUGUACGUGUCCUUGCCAUAAGAAGUACUGUUAACUUUUUAAAGAAAAAUGAGAGAUGUUUGAGUCCUUUUGCUUCUGCAGAAACAAUAAGAUCACAGUGAUUCACAGCAAAAAAAAACCACAAGCAACCAAGCUUCAUUAAGUAACAUUUGUUGACUUCAGUGUUGUUUUUUCUUCAAGUAGUAAGCACUGUUGCUGCAAAGAGCCUUACUGCAUAAAGGUGUAAGAAGUCAACCAGGUCCAGAAGUCAUCCAGAAGGCCAGUCCAGUCACUUUAGGCUAAACUAAUUGUAUUCUAGGUUUGCUGAUUUUCAUACUACUUUGAUGUUUGCUAUCUUAUUUGGGCCUAGGUAACACCCAGAGCAGAUUUUUUUGGACUUUGCACAUAAUCUUCAUUUUUCUUCUAUCUACGACUCUCUACAACUUAGAUCUAUAUUAUUCAACAGGAUAUUUUGUCAAGAAUGCUGGACUCCACUGGAGCUCUUUUGGAGGAGUUCUACUCUUGUUUUUCAAGCAAUGAACUAAACAGUACAUAAUCUCUGCACAGAGCAUGACAUCCCCAUAAUGAACUCUUUGUCAAGCAUGAAGCUGGCCACGUUGCAGCCUGGCACUCCCCCUCUCCACAGUGGGCACCAGCAGCAAAUCCAGACCCUGCAGCUCACUCACAGCUUGAGGACAGCAAGCUCAGGUUACCUUUAAUUUGUUCUGUGUUAUGUGUGUGGUAGGGAACGCAGUGCCCUGGAACUAUUGCUUUACAAAGACUUGUCCCCAGUGUUUGUGAGAGCAGAAGCUGGGAGUGGAACCAAAAAAUCCUUCUGCAGGGCCCGGAUCCUCCCUCCACUGACACAGGCGCCUGGGGCCUAUCCUGCUCAUAGGGACCGCCCAGGGCCCCACAGCCAGCCUCUAUGUGUCCCCCACAUUCUCUACAUGGCCCCCACGUACUGAGCGAGCCCUGACCAUCCUGCUGGGCUCUGCCCCUGUGUGGACAGAGUUAAUUAAAUUCUAAUUUGCUGUGCAGAUGCCCUCUGGACAGCUACCCACUGCAAAAGUCAGGGGCAGCACAAAAGCUACAUAAGGAAGGCCAGAGGCUCAGGGAUUGCUCUGGGGAUGGGGCUGUGCUCCAGGGGGAGUCACAUGAGGAGCAGGCCAGGCUCCUGCCGCCCUCCAGCAUGCACUGCCUAUACUGAGUGUGCUGCCCACUGCAGGCUCUGCCCAGCUCCCUGCAUCUUGCUUACUGCAGUGGCAAGGACGUUACUCCUUGUUGGGAGGGGAGAGGCGUAUCCUCUGGGCAGCUUGGAAGGAAAAGGUUACUUCUGUUUAAACAUUAAACACUGAUUUAAAUCCAACAGUGACAGCAAUGCUCAAAUAUAUCUUAUUUCCUUAUGCCACUCAUCUCACACUUGAUCUUUCCGUCCCCUCAAUGUGCUGGCAUUAGCAUCUCCCACAAAGGCUCAGUCAAGCGCGCCGUCCGCAGUAAGGAGCUGGGUUCUCUGGGGAGAGAGCAGCCGUUCUCUGAAGCCGCGGCUCACACCUGCUGCUGCACGGGUCUCUCUGGCCAGGCCUCCUCCUGCGGCAGCGCCCUCCACGGGUUAACAAUUACUGCUGUUUCUGAAUUCUCCAUUCUCUGUAAUCUGCAAUUUAGUUGGGUUUGUGGGGGAGAUCCCAUUACGCGUCUGCAUGCUGUACCUCUCUUUCAGCUGAGUAAGGGCACUCAUUAACCGUGCGUUGGCAGCAUCCAAUGAAGCAAUGCGUUUCUCCUGCAAAGAAGCGGACGGAGGGAGCCAUCAAUGGAAACACACGGAGAACUGUCUGCCACACCAUGAGUGGUUGUGAGCUAGCAACCGUGGGCCUUUGGGACCAGUACCCCUCAGCAGCCCACUGCUGAUAGCAGGUCUACAAGUGCUUUGCCUGUGUUUUCCCCUGCUGCUGCCAGGUGAACAGACAUCUCUGCAAGCUGUGUGCUCCAGGCUGGCCUGGCAGCAGCCACAUCCCAGCCAGAAGCCUGUGUGCGUGCCUGGGUUGAUGCUGGGGCAUGGCACUCUGCAACCUCCCAGCAGCUCCAUGUCAGACGGCAUGGCUGUGGCCGUAGCCUGGAUUAGAACUGUGCUGAGCUGUGCUGUGCCAGGUUUGUACAAAGCCUUCUUUUCCUUCAGGAAAAGCCUCUGAAAUUCUGGGUUAGGACAUAAUUUGAGGAUUACUUCUAUGAGGAAUAAAUAUCCUUUCUGCAGGUAGCUCCAGAAGCAUCUGCAGGGGAGCACCAGAGUUCUGCAUGGCUGCAGGGAUUCUGGGCAGCAGUUCUACAGCCAUGACCCCAUUCAGAGAGUAGCUCUGGCUACAGGAGAUCCCUGUCAGUCCUUCCGCCCUGCUCCCAGCCUCGUGGAGGCUUUGGCACACCAGGCUUUUAAACAAGCACAAUCUGCGCUGAAUUAAUUUUAUCAUACUAGGGUUAAUUGGUCCUGAACAAAAUGGAGAUAAAGUACUUUUUCUAAUUUUUCAAUGAUACAGAAAUUGUGUUGUUUGCUCUAACUGCAGCUGUUAUGAAGACGAUAAGAUUCCUGUUCUAAAGCAUAGUUCUCUCCCAAGGUGGUUAUUCCUGUCAGUGUUUAAUUGAUUUUGUUAGUGUAAAUAAAUGCCUUAAAUGA